UCUCUGGACGUCACGUGUGAGG
rnacentral:miRNA from 1 species